rnacentral:rRNA from 1 species
UGCAGAAUCCCGUGAACCAUCGAGUCUUUGAACGCAAGUUGCGCCCGAAGCCAUUAGGCCAAGGGCACGUCUGCUUGGGCGUCACGC